AGUUGGCAGUCUCAGUUAUUGAAGGUUAAUAUGGCAGGCCCCCGGCGAGGUGGACUGAAACAAGCAGUUGACAGGAACAGCCUGUUGUAUAAACUUAGGAGAUGGUGUUAUUAUAAAUCAUAUUUCCCUGAACUCGGUGAG
rnacentral:sRNA from 1 species